UACAGGGGGUGCAAACGUUGCUCGGAAUCAUUGGGCGUAAAGCGCACGUAGGCGGUUUGUUAUGUCGGAUGUGAAAGCCCUUGGCUCAACUGAGGAAGUGCAUCCGAAACUGGCAAGCUAGAGUACUAAAGAGGAUCGCGGAAUUCCCGGUGUAGAGGUGAAAUUCGUAGAUAUCUGGAGGAAUACCGGUGGCGAAGGCGGCAUCCUGGAUCGAUACUGACGCUGAGGCGCGAAAGCGUGGGGAGCAAACGGG
rnacentral:rRNA from 1 species